CAGAGGGGGAUAACGUUUGGAAACGAACGCUAAUACCGCAUGAUAUUAUUGAGCUGCAUGGCUUGAUAAUCAAAGGAGCAAUCCGCUGAAAGAUGGGCUCGCGUCCGAUUAGGUAGUUGGCGGGGCAACGGCCCACCAAGCCGACGAUCGGUAGCCGGACUGAGAGGUUGAACGGCCACAUUGGGACUGAGACACGGCCCAGACUCCUACGGGAGGCAGCAGUGAGGGAUAUUGGUCAAUGGGGGAAACCCUGAACCAGCAACGCCGCGUGAGGGAAGACGGUUUUCGGAUUGUAAACCUCUGUCCUCUGUGAAGAUAAUGACGGUAGCAGAGGAGGAAGCUCCGGCUAACUACGUGCCAGCAGCCGCGGUAAUACGUAGGGAGCAAGCGUUGUCCGGAUUUACUGGGUGUAAAGGGUGCGUAGGCGGCUUUGCAAGUCAGAAGUGAAAUCCAUGGGCUUAACCCAUGAACUGCUUUUGAAACUGCAGAGCUUGAGUGGAGUAGAGGUAGGCGGAAUUCCCGGUGUAGCGGUGAAAUGCGUAGAGAUCGGGAGGAACACCAGUGGCGAAGGCGGCCUGCUGGGCUCUAACUGACGCUGAGGCACGAAAGCGUGGGUAGCAAACAGGAUUAGAUACCCUGGUAGUCCACGCUGUAAACGAUGAUUACUAGGUGUGGGUGGACUGACCCCAUCCGUGCCGGAGU
rnacentral:rRNA from 1 species